rnacentral:lncRNA from 1 species
AGAAGAUCCACUGUGAGCUGGCCAGUGGCUGGAGCUCCUGAAUGGAGAGGACCACAGCAGAGGCUGGAGCAGUGGACUGAGUGCAGGGAGCCAGGAGCAAAUGGUGGCUGGACCCAGGCGGUUGUAUGCAAAUCACAUCAGGGUGAAUGGGGCACACAGAAGCAGGCACAAAGACCUAUUUAUUAGUGGAUUUAUCUUCCCACACUUCCAGUUCUUCCUAUUAGACACACAAAGCAGGGUCUACUAGUUAUAUUGUUACAAGCAGCAGUACUAUACAUCGCGAAUAAACCCAUUAAAGUCAACUGAGU